rfam:Ricinus communis cultivar Hale ctg_1100012356240, whole genome shotgun sequence.
AAACCAUGAUGUGGAUAGCUCCUCAGUAAAUCCUUGAAACAUUCCCAGCAAUCAUACAGAGUCUCAUUCUCUUGCUGAAGAAACCCUGCUAUAUCAUUCCUUAACUU